CUUUGAAGUAUAAAUAGGUGCUU
rnacentral:snRNA from 1 species